rnacentral:tRNA from 1 species
GCGCCCGUAGCUUCAGCUGGAUAGAGCAUCUGGCUUCGAACCAGAGGGUCGGGAGUUCGAGUCUCUCCGGGCGCGCCA